UACAGAGGGUGCGAGCGUUGUCCGGAAUCACUGGGCGUAAAGGGCGCGUAGGCGGCCUGGCAAGUCUGUGGUGAAAGCUCAGGGCUUAACUCUGAGUCGGCCAUCGAUACUGCGAGGCUCGAGUCUGGUAGAGGCAGAUGGAAUUCCGGGUGUAGCGGUGGAAUGCGUAGAGAUCCGGAAGAACACCGGUGGCGAAGGCGGUCUGCUGGGACGGUACUGACGCUGAGACGCGAAAGCGUGGGGAGCAAACAGG
rnacentral:rRNA from 1 species